GGCACAGAGGUGAACUGAAUUGCCGAAGGUCACCCAGCAGACCAGUGGCAGAGCCAGGAAUAGACAUCAGGUCCAGUGCUUGAUUCCAUAGGCCACUUUGAGUAGUAUCAAUUUUUCAAGGAAGAAGGAUUAAAACAGAAGCUCUAAACUUUCACUGAGUAAGAGAGGGGCUAUAAUGGAUGCACAGGAAUACAGCAUAAAAGGAAUAUUUCUAGAAGAAGAAGCUUUAGAAGGGGUCCCUAGAGAGAAAGGUUCCCUGAGGGAAGAAAUUGUUGUAAGGAGAAAGACAAAGAGAGAGCUCCGUCUGCGCUCAGAGACAGUUGAGAGGAACUGACAGGGAAGCCGGGUGCGCGCGAAGAUCAAAUGGCGCGAACGGCACGUGCUGUAUACUGCGCAGGCGCACCCGGCUGGAAACAGCUAUGCAAAGCCUCCAAGCUGCGGUGCCAGGACAAGCCCGACACCAUGAGUGGAGCAUCCACGGGGACCACUCGAAGAGGAAGGGGAGAGAGCAAACAGAAAACAUGGUUCUGGAGAGAAUAGUUAUCCAAAAAGUACAUAAAGCAUCUUUGAGGAGUUGUGCAGUCGUACUGUGGAAUGUAAUGCAGUAACAGGUAUUGCACCAAAAACAUCUGGAUUAUAUUAGCAGAGAAGGAAAUGUAGGGCCACCAUCUAAGUUGAUGUCACACAAGCAAUGCUCAUUUACAUCUCUUGAGCAAUGCUGAUUUACAUGAGCUUAGGUUGUGCCCAACAGACUUUGCUUCCCAAAUAAUGUUGCUGGUAUAAUAUACUAUAUUGAAAAAUAUUUUACAAGUCCUCUAUACUAAAUACUCUUGGCAUGUCUAUAGCACUUAUAAUUUGAGGUUCUCAUGGCACUUUACAACCAUGAAUUUAAUCAAAUUGCUCAGAUAGGUAUUAACCCAUUUAGCUGUUGAAGAAUCAGAAUAUUGAGAAUGCAACACAAAGCAGCUGUAGCGUAAUGGAAAAUCUAGAUGUUAUUGAAUAAUAAGCACAUUUUGUGGCAACAAUUCUUUCUUGAAGCUUGAUUCCACUAAAGUCUAGGGAGUCAUUCCAUUUAGGCUAGGUCUAUGCUACAAAGAAAAGUUGGGAAAAGAUACGCAAAUUGCAAAGUGCAAUUUGAGUAUUUUUUUCUGCUUUUCUUUUGAAAGAGGCUUUUUCAAUAUUUGCCCGUCUACACAGGGCCAAUUUCAGAAAAACCUCCUCUUUCGACACAUCCCUUCUUCCUCAUACAAUGAGGAUUAUAGGUAUGGCAAAAGAACGUGUCCGCUUUUUGGGAAAUUGUUCUGAAAAAGCGGACGUGUUCCUUGUACUUGGCAUAGGUUUUCCAGUAUCCCGGACAAGCUCUGCAGUCUAGACAUAGCUUUAUACUAACAUGCUUUGGUUCAGUGCUUGAAAGAAGAUCUACUUAUCAGGGUUAAGAUCAGAUCUAAAGAUCCUUGUCAGGCCUCAUGCAUCUUCUAUCAGGGAUUCUCAAACUGUGAGUUAUGACUCUGUAUUAAUGGGGUUGCUGGGGCUGGCAUCAGACUUGUUGGGUCAUGGGGAAAAUCCACAAAGCCAAAACCCAAGAAUUCCAGUCCUGGGUAGCAGGACUCAGGUUACCAGCUACCACCUGAGGUGCAAGGAUUGGAGUGGGCUCAGACAUGGGUCCCCCCACCUGGAGUCAUGUUGUAAUUUUUGUUGUUAGAAGGGGGUCACAGUGCAAUGAAGUUUGUAAACCACUGUUUAUGUGAUUCUAACUGGAAAUACAUUAAACCUCAGGGAAUGAUACACACAGUUCAAAAGAGGCUAAAGGACUAGGAAAAGGUUGUUACUAAACUUUCCCAGAUAGAUUUCUAUAAAGCAUAUUAGUAAUGGAUGACACUUGGAAACAAAAUUUAUAUUAUAAAUUUAUAUUUAAGUACUGCAAAUGCUAUGCUGUUCAAUAACUGACAUUGCAUAUAUCCAUGUACUAUUAUCAGCUCAUCAGUAUGUUGUUUGCUCUGUUCUGUUUUUAGCAGACUUUUCCCUAGUGCUCAAUAUGACUCUUCUUCUUUAUGUUCUGAAAUGAUCUCUUGUAAAGCAUUACUGCGGUGGAUUUUUUCAUCACAUGGGUUAAUAAAAUGGGGCAGUAACAUGAAGUAAUUGUACAAAAGGUACAUUCUCACAAGCAGCUUGUGAGAAUGCACUGUGAAGUUAAGUCCCACAUAGGUAUCCAGUUUUACCCGACUCAGGGAAAUUACCUUGGGUUGGUUUGUUUAUUGCGUUAUACAAGUUGCUAAUGUCUCCCUGGUUACACAAAUGGGUUUUUUUUCUAUAUAUUGUUUCUUUUCACUUUAAGUGUGCAAUGAGGUUGGUAGGUGUCUUACUGGUCUAUUUCUAGCUCCUUUCAGACAGAUUCUAAACACAUACUAAAAAAUGAAAGAGUUGGAAUAUGCCCUCCCCAAGGUGGCUGCCAAGUUCCACUCUGAGUUGAUGUGAGGUAGUCUAUCAGUAGCUGCCUUUGCAGUACUAUUUAAUAAAAAUUAUUUCAAUUUAGGAAUAUUCAACUUUCUGUAUAAUAUGUCAGGCAGAAUGAGACUUUGCAAACUUAAAUGAAAGCUGAAUGUGCUUUGUCUUGAAAUGUAAAAAUUUAAAAUCUGGACCACAGAACAAAAUCAAGGAACAAGGGCAAUAAAGCUGGUAUUUUAGCUCCCUGGUAGAUUCUGAAAUUAAUCCUGGAUGAUCACUGGUCUUGUCUGCAUCUGAUCUGUGCAGGAUUAAUACAUUAAAACAAAUGCAGCAAAAUAUGCAGCCCUAUAUUCCCACAUAAAUGUCUCAAAUGCAGGCCAAGGCUCAGUCAGAUUCUGUCUGGGCCACUGUUCCUUCUCAGUUCUGUUAACAUAUCUAUUCAGGUUAGUAUUUCUUAUCCAGAAAGAUGCCAUAGCAUUUUCCAAGGAGGAAAUUAUUAUGAUGAUUUCUUUUCCUAGUAGGGAACACUUACCCCACAGCUGUGGGGUGAAACACAGCAGAUAUUGAAUGACUCACCUCUCCACAUCUAAUAUCAGAAAGGAAUCUCUUAUCAAGCUGUUUUUUUACAGGGGACAACCUAGAAGGAGUUCAACUGGCCAAAUUACACUUUGGUUUGGAUACUUUAGUGAACAUCUUUUGUUUUGUGCAAACUUCAAGGACAUUGUUUUACUUGCCAUCUCUAAGAAGGCCACUCCUGUAUUGAAGUGUUCCUGCAUACCCAGUUAUAGCACUGGAUCAGCAGUGAUGCUCAGGGAAGCACUCUCAUGGACCAUAAUGCCACUUUCUGAAUGCAGUACUUGGGUUUCUGGCAUGGGUUUAUACAUUCAGUGCUGGCUUGGCACCCACGAAGUUCCCACUAUUGCUGAUGGGCAGUUUCACAGCAGCUGGGAAAAUAAAAAAGCCAGGAAGCAGCAGUACGAGGUGGAUGCCAGAGAAGUCAGGAGGCUGAAGACAGAAAUACCUGCCAGCAAGCGGCUAAGAAACUGCCUAUGGGAAUGAUGACUGGGCCUGUAACCGGGUCCAUUGCUCAGGGGUCCUGGGGCGCCCCCAGUUCACAAGCCCGAGCGGCGCUGGGUCCUGGGCUGUCCCUGCUCCCGGCCUCUAUCUCACCGCUCCCACGGUCUUCUCCUCUUGGUCGGCUCCCCGAGCACGCGGCUCCUGCCGUCCCUGGGAUCACCGGCCUCCGACCGUCUGUCCGGCGUCUGCUGCCGGCCCAUCCCCCCGCUCCCUGGUCCGGCCGCCCGCUUUGGCUGUUGGGAUCCAGGCUCCGUGCGCCGUGCCGGCUCCUGCCGGGUCUCCCACGGGCCCUGU